GCAGUGGAGAGCUGAUGGUGGAGAGGAACAGGCUGGGGGAGCUGUGACCCACGUGGGACGCCGAAGGAUGGCGGGUCUCUCGGAGUAGAAGAGACGCAGAGUGGGAGCCUAGAGAAGAGUGCAUGCAGACGGGAGUGGGUGAGAAAGAACGUAAGGAAGAAAGAUGGACAAGAUUUUAAGAGGGAAAGUUCAAUUUGCAACACGACUAUUGGUGGCAAGAAAAUGGAUGUCUAAAGAAGCUCCAAAUAUUGAUGAACUUAAGGCUACAGGAUUGUGAAGCCCUGGUGUGUACUCAUGCUGCUUCCUGCUACACUCUGUCAGCCCGUUGGUCCUGUGACAGUGUGCGACUCCGCCUACACAUCCUCCACUCUGUCCUAAGCCUCCACUGCCCGGACAAGUCUCAGUGGCCCUUCAGCAUACCAUGUGUGCAAGGCACGGCGGUGUCACGCUGUUCUUCACAUGGUUUGCCUUGGCGAAAAGUCUUGGAAACAAUGGCCGGUCAAGGCAAUGGAGACGUUGCGCCUACAUCUCACAUGUUGUUGGAUUUGGUCCUUUGUACUCACACGCUGAGGUCCGGGACACUCAAAGUUUGAUCUAAAUUUCAAAUAAAA